GGAGAGGUGGCAGAGCGGUCGAAUGCGCGCGCUUGGAGAGCGCGUGAUCGCAAGAUCCCAGGGUUCGAAUCCCUGCCUCUCCGCCA
rnacentral:tRNA from 1 species